AUGGAACAUCUUAUUUUCCAUUCCCAGCAGAGCUUCGAAUCCCAUCUAGCAUCAAUCUGUCUGCACAUUCACACCGUCUUACAUAUUUGCCAAUUAAGAGGCUUACAUGAUAUAAGUAACUUUCUGUUAGGCCAAAGGGAGAGGGGGAAUUGCGUAAACAUUGAUGCUACCAUGCUACAUAUUACAAAAAACUCGCUGCAUGAAUAUCACAAAUUCAUCAUUACUUGUAUAAUGGCAGUCAAGCAUAUUCUUAUGUAUUAUCAUUGCAGCCAUCUCCAGAAGUUGUCAGUUGUCACAAAGCAAAAUCCAACACAUUUGUUUUUUCAAUAUUGA